rnacentral:rRNA from 1 species
UACGAAGGGGGCUAGCGUUGCUCGGAAUCACUGGGCGUAAAGGGUGCGUAGGCGGGUCUUUAGGUCAGGGUGAAAUCCUGGAGCUCAACUCCAGAACUGCCUUUGAUACUGAGGAUCUUGAGUUCGGGAGAGGUGAGUGGAACUGCGAGUGUAGAGGUGAAAUUCGUAGAUAUCGCAAGAACACCAGUGGCGAAGGCGGCUCACUGGCCCGAUACUGACGCUGAGGCACGAAAGCGUGGGGAGCAAACAGG